rnacentral:rRNA from 1 species
AAGACCUUGCGCUUUUGGAGCGGCCGAUGCCUGAUUAGCUUGUUGGUAAGGUAAAAGCUUACCAAGGCUUCGAUCAGUAGCUGGUCUGAGAGGACGGCCAGCCACACUGGGACUGAGACACGGCCCAGACUCCUACGGGAGGCAGCAGUGGGGAAUUUUGGACAAUGGGCGCAAGCCUGAUCCAGCCAUGCCGCGUGAGUGAAGAAGGCCUUCGGGUUGUAAAGCUCUUUCAGCCGGGAAGAAAAGGUUGCGAUUAAUAAUCGCAAUUUAUGACGGUACCGGAAGAAGAAGCACCGGCUAACUACGUGCCAGCAGCCGCGGUAAUACGUAGGGUGCGAGCGUUAAUCGGAAUUACUGGGCGUAAAGCGUGCGCAGGUGGUUUUGUAAGUCAGAUGUGAAAUCCCCGGGCUUAACCUGGGAACU